rnacentral:rRNA from 1 species
CCUACGGGAGGCUGCAGUGGGGAAUAUUGGACAAUGGGCGAAAGCCUGAUCCAGCCAUGCCGCGUGUGUGAAGAAGGCCUUCGGGUUGUAAAGCACUUUCAGUGGGGAAGAAAGCCUUGGGGCUAAUACCCUCGAGGAAGGACAUCACCCACAGAAGAAGCACCGGCUAACUCCGUGCCAGCAGCCGCGGUAAUACGGAGGGUGCGAGCGUUAAUCGGAAUUACUGGGCGUAAAGCGCGCGUAGGCGGUCUGAUAAGCCGGUUGUGAAAGCCCCGGGCUCAACCUGGGAACGGCAUCCGGAACUGUCAGGCUAGAGUGCAGGAGAGGAAGGUAGAAUUCCCGGUGUAGCGGUGAAAUGCGUAGAGAUCGGGAGGAAUACCAGUGGCGAUGGCGGCCUUCUGGACUGACACUGACGCUGAGGUGCGAAAGCGUGGGUAGCAAACAGGAUUAGAUACCCCAGUAGUC